UAAACCCUUAAUCUGGUGAAAACCCAUACAACGCAAUUCCAAACAAAGAAAAAUGGCGUACAAGUACUGGAAGUAGUGAUGAAUGUACAUACAAUGGAUGUAGCUCCAUGUGUGAAACUACUGGGCAUCUAAUAAACUGAGGUGGCACCAGCACAUGGAUAAGGUGACUGUUGAUACCAAUGGAAGUGAACUUGAACUGCUGUCAAAGGUACCACAUAGUGUGUGCUGUCAAAGGUACCACAUAGUGUGAAAGAGACCCAACAAAAAGAUAAAACUUCAUUAAGUAAAGGUAUGAUCCUUGUUUCAGUGAGGAAGAAACUGGCUAUACUUCACGACAGAGAGCAUUCAUUGUCAUUAAAUACAUUACAUUAAAUACAUUACAUGUGUCAGUCAUGC